rnacentral:pre_miRNA from 1 species
GGACAUCAAGACGCCUCAGGCACAUUUAUCAUGUUGUUGUUGUUGUUUUGCCUCUAG